GAUGAAGAACGCAGCGAAAUGCGAUAAGUAAUGUGAAUUGCAGAAUUCAGUGAAUCAUCGAAUCUUUGAACGCACCUUGCGCUCCUUGGUAUUCCGAGGAGCAUGCCUGUUUGAGUGUCAUUAAUAUAUCAACCUUCUCUUUUUUGAGUUGUUUGGAUGUGGGGAUUUGCUGGCCUCUUAAAUGAUUCAGCUCCCCUGAAAUGCAUUAGCAGAACAACCUGUUCAUUAGCGUGAUAAUUAUCUAUGCUAUUGAAUGUGAGGGCAGUUCAGCUUUCUAACCGUCCUUGGACAAUUCAUCAUUAAUGUGACCUCAAAUCAGGUAGGACUACCCGCUGAACUUAAGCAUAUCAAUAAGCGGAGGA
rnacentral:misc_RNA from 1 species